AGCGAACGCUGGCGGCAGGCCUAACACAUGCAAGUCGAACGAACUCUCCGUAGUUAGUGGCGGACGGGUGAGUAACACGGGGGAACGUGCCUUUUGGUUCGGAAUAAUUCAGGUAAACUUGUGCUAAUACCGAAUGUGCCCUUCGGGGGAAAGAUUUAUCGCGCUUAGAGCGGCCCGCGUCUGAUUAGCUGGUUGGUGAGGUAACGGCUCAUCAAGGCGUGGAUCAGUAGCUGGUCUGAGAGGAUGACCAGCGACACUGGGAGUGGGACACGGCCCAGAAUCCUACGGGAGGCAGGAGUGGGGAAUCUAGCGCAAUGGGCGAAAGCCUGACGCAGCCAUGCCGGGUGAAUGAUGAAGGUGGUAGGAUUGUACAGUUCUUUCACAGGGGACGAUACUGACGGUACCCGGAGAAGAAGCACCGGCUAACUUCGUG
rnacentral:rRNA from 1 species